rnacentral:snRNA from 1 species
AUUGUUUCUUGGCCUUUUGGCUAAGAUCAAGUGUAGUAUCUGGUUUUAUCAGUUUAAUAUCUGAUGUGUCCUCGAUAAGGACUUUUUAAUUUUAACAUUUGGACUCGAUGACCUUAA